GCCGGUCCUCGGUAGUGGCCCCCGGGACGCAGCGAGCCUGAGAAGCAGGAACCCGCGACACCCGAGGGCUUCGAUCGAAGACCGGU
rfam:Modestobacter marinus str. BC501 chromosome, complete genome.